rnacentral:rRNA from 1 species
GCAGCCGCCGCGGGAAUACAGAGGGUGCGAGCGUUAAUCGGAUUUACUGGGCGUAAAGCGUGCGUAGGCGGCUUCUUAAGUCGGAUGUGAAAUCCCUGAGCUUAACUUAGGAAUUGCAUUCGAUACUGGGAAGCUAGAGUAUGGGAGAGGAUGGUAGAAUUCCAGGUGUAGCGGUGAAAUGCGUAGAGAUCUGGAGGAAUACCGAUGGCGAAGGCAGCCAUCUGGCCUAAUACUGACGCUGAGGUACGAAAGCAUGGGGAGCAAACAGGAUUAGAUACCCCUGUAGUCCCUGUCUCUUAUAA